UACAGAGGUCCCAAGCGUUGUUCGGAUUCACUGGGCGUAAAGGGUGCGUAGGUGGUCGGGUAAGUCUGAUGUGAAAUCUCCCGGCUUAACCGGGAGGGUGCGGCGGAAACUGUUCUGCUGGAGUGAGGGAGAGGCAAGCGGAAUUCCUGGUGUAGCGGUGAAAUGCGUAGAUAUCAGGAGGAACACCCGUGGUGCAGACGGCUUGCUGGACCUCCACUGACGCUGAGGCACGAAAGCGUGGGGAGCAAACAGG
rnacentral:rRNA from 1 species